UACGUAGGGCGCGAGCGUUGUCCGGAAUUAUUGGGCGUAAAGAGCUCGUAGGCGGCCUGUUGCGUCCGCUGUGAAAUCCCAGGGCUUAACCCUGGGUCUGCAGUGGAUACGGGCAGGCUGGAGGCAGGCAGGGGAGAACGGAAUUCCCGGUGUAGCGGUGAAAUGCGCAGAUAUCAGGAGGAACACCGAUGGCGAAGGCAGGUCUCUGGGCAUUAACUGACGCUGAGGAGCGAAAGCAUGGGGAGCGAACAGG
rnacentral:rRNA from 1 species